UUAAGAUUACAGCAAGAGUUCAAUACAGAUUAAGAAGACAGACAUACCUUUUACCCUUUCCGAGGUGGUAGAAUAGCCAAAAUCGUUUUCACCACUCUCGAUAGCUUAAUAUUAAUAGAAAAAACAGAAGGUAAAUGGAAAACAACAAAUAAUUUGAAUAAGGGAAAACCUUCCCACAGGAACAUCCGUUAUUCCUCUAUCAACGGAGUCAAAUGGGGACAUGUCACAUAGAUGCCACGUGAACACAAGGGUAGACCGUAUUGCAUAGGAUUUCAAAAAAAAUAAACAACUCCUUUUGUUUUUGUGCACUACGUCUCUCUCUCUCUCUCUCUCUCUCUCAAGAAAACCUUUCAGGAGUAGGGGCCACCGUCGAAUUCGUUCCCCACUGCCGAUCUCGUAUUUUUCGUCAACCGAGAAAACCUUUCCCGAUCUCGGAGUUGACGAAAGGACGGAAACCACUCUGUUGGUUUUGCAAUUUUCAUGCGACUGCAGUGGGUGGGUUGUGCCGAACUGGAACUCCUCCACUGGUGGUAUGUGGCGGCGUGAAGAUGUGGGAGGAAGCGGGUUGAUGGGUAACAAGAGAAGAACACACGGUUGAGAGAGAUGAACGGUCUGGUUUCUAAUUUUGCUUUGGUGCGAUGCAAUUCAGAGAUGAAGAUGUGUGUUUAGUGACGUGUCAACUCUUUAUUGGUGUCCAUUAAACUCAAUAUAUCGGAUUGACCUGCCUAACGAGGAACUCUUUGAAUAAUAAUCUACUUUGGAUGUGCUAA